AUUUAGGUAGCUUAAAGUUUAAAGUUUAAUGUUGAAAACAUUAAGAUAGUUAUUAUAUUCUUAAAUA
rnacentral:tRNA from 1 species